rnacentral:lncRNA from 1 species
AUAGCUUUAUUUUCUUCUUUUUUUGCUAUAGAGCUAGAGCUCGCAGGUUUAAAAAGGAGAACUUCCUUCCCCAGGAAGAGCUUAGCAAGAGAGCAAAUAACUGCCUUUCACUUGAUCUCACUCCAGCAAUGGAAAGGGGAAGUACUGGGACAAUGCCAAUACAAGUAACAAGUCAAUCCACUCCUCACUAACUUCUACAGACUCCACUCAGGGAGGAAAUAACUCGUCAUAUCAUAUGACAAGACGAGGGGGUGCCUUUGCCCGAGAACCUGAAACGGAUUCGUGAACAACUGCAGCUCAUACUCCUAACUGGGUUUCAAUUAAAAAGGCUAAAGGAAAAGCCGCUUACUUAGACGAUAGGGCUAUCUUCUCCGGCUAACCGAUAGGCAUGGUGAUAAACCUCAAAACAAAAGAAGAGCACAGCGUGGAAAAAAUAAGCCUGGUUUCGUCAUACAAUUGCGUCCCUUUCCAGAGUAGAUCGUAAAUCCCUCACGGGCUAACCACAGGGCCCCACCCCUUUCGCGUUCCUACCCAACUUCUAUUCAAAAAAAGCUUCAACUCUUUCUCUAUGCAAUGUGUGACAUAUCUCGGUCUGGAGUCGAACCAGUGCUAUGAAUGCUCCACGCCAUUCAUUCACAGAGCUACGAGAUCGAUGCGUUAAGCAUAGUUUCUCUGUCUCCAAAUCCGUAUCAUCUUUGGUAUCCAAUCAAACCACUGCUACUCUCACUAGGAUUUCUAUUCUAUUAAUUAAUUCGUCGAGCUGCGAUAUUUAUCAUUCUAGUAUUUCGGCGAAACCAGAUGAUUUGAGACGAAAUGACUCUUCCUACCUCCCAAGAUGCCCCUAAUAGAUGUUUCAAUUCCAGUUCCUGGGAAAGAGGGUAGAUAGCGCCAGCCAGUAAGGCAAUUGAGUGAAAGACGUUCUUCGAAUCGGCUUGCAUGUGUCAUUUUGUUUGAUUCUGCUCUUCCGGAAUGGAAGAAAGAUAUAGAGGGCGCUCCACUCCCAAAUUUUCAUGUGUAAAUCAUGCCUCCUGCCUUCCCCCUUCGCUGAUUUAGAGAGGCAGGUGAAGCCCUUUCAUGCUUAGAUGAAUGGGUUCUGUCAAUGUUGUUGGCUUUCGUGAGCGAAGAGUGGCCAAGCGGUGUAUUUCAGAAAGACUAAGACGAGACCAAGUACGGAUACCGGGCAAAUGCCCGAUGAGGUUCUUUCUCUUUCUACUGGUGGCAUCAGCGAGGAUCUAGACAUUAUUUGAUUGGAAAUUGUUGUGUGAAGGCCUCUUUGUCGCUGUCUGCGGGGCCCCCCUCUAAAAGAAGUUGAUCAAGCGCUUUCUCUUUACAAAGAUGCUCAACGAAUCGUUUUUCACUAUUUAAGCUAUCAAUACGGUAUGCUGGCGAGCUUUAGGAAUGGGAAUAGUGUGGUUGUGCUUACGAGAAUGUAAAGAAAGCUACAGUCAUCCUUUAGUCAGGAGGCACUCAACGUUGGCUUAAGACCAGCGUAAGUUUUGCAAUUGGAAUACAUAGGAGAUGAGGGCUUUCGGAUUCAACUCAGAGCCAGGAAGAGUCGCUAAGAAAAUAGCCAAGAUCAAAAGAGUCCUCCUUCUGUUUUGAGGUCGGAGAAAAGAACGAGUGAAUCUAGUUUCGAGAGCAUGCCUUACUCUAAUAGGGGGCGUAGAGUUUCUAAGUGAAGGCAAGCGCAACUAUCUAUUUCAUAUCCUCCCUGUCAGCAAGGCAGGUCCGCUAUAAAGCCUACCGGCCAGAAAGUCCUCAAGAACGAGAAAGCCGACCAAAAGACUAUUCCAUAACCAACUCUUGUUGCCGAAUCGAGGGGGCUUGGCUUGUACCAGGCUCUAAAUUUUAUUCGAGCGAGCGGUCUUUCUAUCUUUUUGGGUUGCAUGCCCAAGGCAAUGCUUUUUUUAGAUUGAGAUGGAUUGAUCUUCGCUAUCGUGCCUCUUCCUUGUACCAGUUGAUGCUGCGGCAGUGCCUAAUAUGACUUUGCUCCUGCCCCAGACAGCUUUGAGGUUCCCAUCGAUCGAUUACAGAGGUUUCAACCACUGAACUUGCUUAUGCUCCCCUUUGAUCGAGUGCUAUUUCUAUAAAAAAGAUUGAGUAGGAAAAUCUUGAAUUGGCUUCAAUCGAGAUUGCCUCGGCUUCUUAGGCACAUGAGGAACCGGCCUAACAUCUUUUCAAUCGAAAUCCCAAUCAAAGACAAGUUCUACCAAGGCCAGAAUCUGAAAGAGAAGAUUCACUUUCCGGAAUUCCAAGUGACAUGAUUCCUUCAGAAGCUAAAGUUGAAUGAUCGAAGUCUCCUUCAGGUUCAGUCGAAGAGAUCGAAGCGAAGUCAUCAAUUCAACCAUUCGCAUGGUCUCCCCUAAGACUGACCUCUUUUCCAAAUGAACCGAACCUCGAUACCACAUUCAUCAAAGAGAGACGGCCAUCUCUCUAGGUUGCACAACCCCUUUAGAUCGUUCUAUUCGUGCUUGAAAAACGACCCCUAUUGAGUAAGUAAGGCUCCCCCUCUCCUUUACUAAUAGGGGGGUCGGUAAGCUAAGUCUCCAGCCCCUUUACUAGUAAGGGAAAAACUCUAUCGAGUAAGCCCAGCUACAAGUACCGAAUCAAGCUUUUCUUCAAUAGGAUUAGCAUAGGAAUCAUUAAUAGUUGAAUUCUCUCCCGGAACUACCCAAUCUGUUUUAAACUCACAUUUACCACGUCGCAUUGACAAGUUCAAAAGUAGCCCAACCUAUACAAGGGCGUAACGAGCAGUCUACUCAUGUACGAAAGAGGGAUAUUCCGACUCAAUGCAAGAAGGGGAAGGCGACGGAAGGAACUUCUUGUAUACAAUAAAGUUGUGGCACUUGAGGAAUAGAAUCCGCUGCUUGAGUGAAUGAAGUAGGAGCCGUUAAUGAAUUUCUUGAAGCAAGGGAUGACUCCUCAAUUCUCAAUUCUGGUAAGGCAUUACUGACAUCUUGGAAUGGACCAGUUGCUGAUCCACCCACUUCUUCACGGGUGGACCUUUUACACCUCGCCCACGACCCAAAGAUUCUAUUGUGCUUCCUCCGGAUAGG